AGCCUCCCAAGUAGCUGGGACUACUGGUGUGUGUCACUGCACCCAGCUAAUUUAAUUUAAUUUAAUUUAUUUUUUUUGUACAGACACAGUCUUGCUAUUUUUCUCAGACUGGUCUGAAACUCCUGGCCUCAAAUGAUCCUUCUGCUUCUGCCUCCGAAAGUGGUGAAAUUACAGGCUGGGGCUACCAUGCCCAGCCAGAACGUGAACUUCUAACAAUUUACCAGGUGAUGCUGCUGCUGUCUGUUCCUGGACCACACUUGAGUUGUCUUUCUUUGCAUCUUCCACCCAGCAUUGCUUAAUAGAGAGUGAUCUGUCUCAGCAAGGCCCACGUCCUCUACUCUCCACCCAGGCUUUCCUCUGACCCCUCUGGUCCUUGUUCACCGUGGUCUGGCAGCUGUGGGCUUUACAGUGGGAGGAACUAUGGAGGAUCCACUACAGAAAAUGCAGAGGGCCGGAGAGAAUAUGGAAAUCCUGCACCAGGCUAGAAAGACCAGAGCUGGCAUUAGCAUGAGGCAAGGACUUCUGCACGGCCAGAAUUUCUGCAAACUAGUAAGACUCAUUAAACAAACUUUAAUUUCUGUGUGUUUUCUCCACUGUACCUUAAAAUAAAUGUAUUCUUUAUGAUCUGGAGAGAUGCCUACUCUUCUAAUUUGAAAGAAAUAUAAAUGCUGGUAGGAUAGUCUCUGGAGAAUGUUACUAUCUAUGGUCAUUAAGGGAGAAAGUAAUGAGGGAGCAGGAGAUUAACUAGUUAGUUGG
ensembl:lincRNA